rnacentral:RNase_P_RNA from 2 species
GCGGAUGGCUGGAUGACCGCGGGGCCAAAGUCGAAAGGCUGGCCGCGAGGAAAGUCCGGACUCCAUGAAGGAAGGGUGCCGGGUAACGCCCGGCGGGGGUAACCCCAGGGAAAGCGCCACAGAGAACAGACCGCCUCGCCAAAGCGAAGGUUCGCCUUCGACGCGGAUGAGGUAAGGGUGAAACGGUGGGGUAAGAGCCCACCGCGGACCUGGCAACAGGGACGGCACGGCAAGCCCCACCCGGAGCAAUGCCGAAUAGGGGCCUCGCGCGGAAAGGUCCGACGAUAUGCCGCAAGGCUGUCGGAGACCUCCGCAAGGGAUACUUCAGCCCAAGAGAGCCCGGGUUGGCAGCUAAAGCGCCGUGGUAACACGGCGCGUAGAGGAAUGGUCAUCCAGAGGGCUUCGGCGCAAGCCGGGCCCUUGGACAAAAUCCGGCUUACAGGCCGUCCGCGCAA